rnacentral:rRNA from 1 species
GAGUUUGAUCGUGGCUCAGAUUGAACGCUGGCGGCAUGCCUUACACAUGCAAGUCGAACGGUAACAGGUCUUCGGAUGCUGACGAGUGGCGAACGGGUGAGUAAUACAUCGGAACGUGCCCGAUCGUGGGGGAUAACGGAGCGAAAGCUUUGCUAAUACCGCAUACGAUCUACGGAUGAAAGCAGGGGACCGCAAGGCCUUGCGCGGACGGAGCGGCCGAUGGCAGAUUAGGUAGUUGGUGGGAUAAAAGCUUACCAAGCCGACGAUCUGUAGCUGGUCUGAGAGGACGACCAGCCACACUGGGACUGAGACACGGCCCAGACUCCUACGGGAGGCAGCAGUGGGGAAUUUUGGACAAUGGGCGAAAGCCUGAUCCAGCCAUGCCGCGUGCAGGAUGAA